rnacentral:rRNA from 1 species
GACGAACGCUGGCGGCGUGCUUAACACAUGCAAGUCGAACGGAAAGGCCCUGCUUUUGUGGGGUGCUCGAGUGGCGAACGGGUGAGUAACACGUGAGUAACCUGCCCUUGACUUUGGGAUAACUUCAGGAAACUGGGGCUAAUACCGGAUAGGAGCUCCUGCUGCAUGGUGGGGGUUGGAAAGUUUCGGCGGUUGGGGAUGGACUCGCGGCUUAUCAGCUUGUUGGUGGGGGAGUGGCUUACCAAGGCUUUGACGGGUAGCCGGCCUGAGAGGGUGACCGGCCACAUUGGGCCUGCGAGACGGCCCAGACGCCUACGGGAGGCAGCAGGGGGGAAUAUUGCACAAUGGGCGGAAGCCUGAUGCAGCAACGCCGCGUGCGGGAUGACGGCCUUCGGGUUGAAAACCGCUUUCGCCUGUGACGAAGCGUGAGUGACGGUAAUGGGUAAAGAAGCACCGGCUAACUACGUG